UUCCUUGGAAGACAGAGACUUUAGAUUUCACAGGUAUCUGUGAGAUUGUAUCUCAGGUCGUUCUGUACUCAGAAUGACCGUGGGAGCCACGGGGGGUCAGAGCGCAGCGGUUUGCUUCUUUGUCUCGCUAGAAGACAGAUGGCCCUUUGAUCUUUGCGUAGAUCAGGGGGAGUUCCAAGUUUCUCUGAAUGCUUAAGGGAGUUUCCAGUUGGUCAACAGGAGGAACGCCUUGAGUGCAUAAAUUAAAUAGAGAAACACCUCUUUAGUAUAAGAUUACGUGUCAGGAGAGAAAAUGCAGAGAGCGGCCACCAUUUUGCCUUUUUGCAUCGGCUCUCUCCAAAGACGCGUCUUUGCUUUUUGUUUGUCUUUGUUUUGUGUUUGUUUGUCUUCCCCUUGUCUGUCUUUAUUUUUAUGAGAAAAAUGCAUAUCUCUGUUCCUCUGCAGUUUUGUUGUUGAUUGCUUUGUAUGAGAUUAAACUCUGUGAUUUGUGACGUCAACACGCUUUGUUGUUGUUUUCACUUUAGCAGCACGCCGCCACUCGCUGAGGAUCCGGGACAGUAAAGAGGAAAGAGCCAAACGUUUUGUCCAAAGUUAACAUUAAAUUAUCCUCUUUUUUAACAACACCCACGCACAUCCUGACUCUGGGUGAAUGUUCCUGUGGAAUGUGAUCGAAGUGAAGAAUCUGCAUUCUGGAUGUUUAGAUGGACAGACGCUCUGCUUCUUUUACAGGUAAAUGAAGCAGGGAACUGUGGCAGCUUUCAACAAACUGGAACAUUUGUAUCUGUUUAUUCUGCCUCAGAUCUCUCAGAGGGAGGGGUAACACACAAACAUAGAAAGAGUUCAAAAAUGUUGGGUGCUGAAAGAAAUUAUAGUGAAAAGACCUUUGGUGGAAUGAAAAGGUCUUCCACAGCCACUCCCCGACAGUAGACAGUGAGCAUUAAAGUGGCCAAAAAGCAAAAUCAAUACACCCAUUCGCUCUGAUUUUCCCAAGUGUAUGCCUAACCACGUUAGCUGAAGGCGAUAUGAGGGUAUUAAGUGUAUGCAACCGUCCGCUGCUCCCUCUUUGGUCAUGCAGACAGAGAAGUGUGGCCUGUGAUAAAUUUAAUAAAUUAAUAAAAACUUCCCUCCUGCCUGCCACAAGCUGUUCCCAAAGGAUCUUUUCACAGUGAGAUUAACCUCAGCUUCCUCACACACUGGCUCCUUCCCGUGUUGUUCUUCAGCGUUCAGGCUGCUGCUCUCCUUUGUGUUUUUUUCACUGAGUAUUUAGACGUUUGAAGCUACCAUUCCAGACUUUUCUUUAUUUUCUAUCAAAAUAAAGAAAUGUCUAAAAUGAACCGGGCAGUUCAUUUUAGACAUAGUGUGGCACUGAAUGGACAUGCUGUUGUUUCUGUUCUGUUUUGCUGUAGUUAACUUAUUCAAGAUUAAAUGUAUCCUCCCAAAAUGGGCUUCCACACAGGAUUUGUCUGUGGUGACAUGGCAUAAGGCAGCUGACCUGAGUUCUUCUAAAUGUAUUUAUUUUUUAUUUUUUGCAUUGUGAGCUGAUGCAGCAGAACAUUACAUCCAUAUAGAGCUAAAACGAUUAAUUGGACAAACUAAUUUGUAAAAUGAUUGCAAUUUAGUAAUUGAUUAAUUGUUACAGGCAUUUAAUCCCUAUGCAGACUCAAUAACGGAUAUUUGCUGACAGAAAAACAUUAUCAAAGCAGUAUUAUUAAGCCAAAAAACCUUUGUCUUUAAAUCUGUUCCACCCAAAACUCCCAGAGUGUCACAGUUUUGGUUCAAAGUGGUGAUUUAAACCACUUUUAGACUGGUUCAAAUCCAGUCUGAAAGUCUUCUGUGAAGCUUUUUUUGCUAUCCAGUUAUUAAUUGGUUAAUCCUAAAUUGGUCAACAUUUCAGCCCUACAAUGUAUUGAAGCACAAACUUUUCAAAUGUUGAUGAUACAAAUAUUUUUUAGCUGCAGAUGCAUCAUUUGCUACAAAUAAUUACGU